rnacentral:rRNA from 1 species
GAUGAACGCUGGCGGCGUGCCUAAUACAUGCAAGUCGAGCGAACGGACGAGAAGCUUGCUUCUCUGAUGUUAGCGGCGGACGGGUGAGUAACACGUGGAUAACCUACCUAUAAGACUGGGAUAACUUCGGGAAACCGGAGCUAAUACCGGAUAAUAUUUUGAACCGCAUGGUUCAAAAGUGAAAGACGGUCUUGCUGUCACUUAUAGAUGGAUCCGCGCUGCAUUAGCUAGUUGGUAAGGUAACGGAUUACCAAGGCAACGAUGCAUAGCCGACCUGAGAGGGUGAUCGGCCACACUGGAACUGAGACACGGUCCAGACUCCUACGGGAGGCAGCAGUAGGGAAUCUUCCGCAAUGGGCGAAAGCCUGACGGAGCAACGCCGCGUGAGUGAUGAAGGUCUUCGGAUCGUAAAACUCUGUUAUUAGGGAAGAACAUAUGUGUAAGUAACUGUGCACAUCUUGACGGUACCUAAUCAGAAAGCCACGGCUAACUACGUG